ensembl:antisense 1600020E01Rik RIKEN cDNA 1600020E01 gene
GUUUCCCAACAAAAUGGCGACACGUGUCGCCAUCGAAAAAUUGGGCCGGGUCUGAAAGCUCUAGAAUGUGCCUUUCAUCAGUCUCAGAAUUUCCCAUAGGAUGAAACAGCAAGAGAGCAAGACAAUCCCAGAGAGAUGAAGUGAAUGACCCAAGGUUACACAGGAUGGAACCUAUAUCUUCUGAUUUCUCUACUGGCCUGCACUCCACGUUCUGAGGAGGAGUCCUUGAAGCUACUGAGAUAAUGGAACAAUGGAGUAGAUAGUCCAUUAUAACUCAUCUGGGAUUCUUCUCAACUUCAAGUGACCACAGGUGGAAACAUGGUCUGGUAACACCACGCUUCCGGAUGUGAUUGUGGAGCUGGAUUGCUUAACCUGGGCUAAGUCAUUUAUCUUCCUGUGUCCCUCAGUUCUUCAUGGGCUGCAGAAGUGUUAAGAGUGCCUGCUUGUCUUCGAGAGGACCAGAGAUCAAUUCCUAGCAUCCAUCCCUGGAAGCUACAGGGAAUUCAACACUCUUCCUGACUUCCUCAAACACCUGCACACAUAUGGCUUAUAGACACACAGGGAAAGAAGUAAAGGAAAUCUUAAAAACA